rnacentral:rRNA from 1 species
CGGAGGGAUCAUUACCGAGUUUACAACUCCCAAACCCCUGUGAACAUACCACUUGUUGCCUCGGCGGAUCAGCCCGCUCCCGGUAAAACGGGACGGCCCGCCAGAGGACCCCUAAACUCUGUUUCUAUAUGUAACUUCUGAGUAAAACCAUAAAUAAAUCAAAACUUUCAACAACGGAUCUCUUGGUUCUGGCAUCGAUGAAGAACGCAGCAAAAUGCGAUAAGUAAUGUGAAUUGCAGAAUUCAGUGAAUCAUCGAAUCUUUGAACGCACAUUGCGCCCGCCAGUAUUCUGGCGGGCAUGCCUGUUCGAGCGUCAUUUCAACCCUCAAGCACAGCUUGGUGUUGGGACUCGCGUUAAUUCGCGUUCCCCAAAUUGAUUGGCGGUCACGUCGAGCUUCCAUAGCGUAGUAGUAAAACCCUCGUUACUGGUAAUCGUCGCGGCCACGCCGUUAAACCCCAACUUCUGAAUGUUGACCUCGGAUCAGGUAGGAAUACCCGCUGAACUUAAGCAUAUCAAUAAGCGGAGGAAAAGAAACCAACAGGGAUUGCCCUAGUAACGGCGAGUGAAGCGGCAACAGCUCAAAUUUGAAAUCUGGCUCUCGGGCCCGAGUUGUAAUUUGUAGAGGAUACUUUUGAUGCGGUGCCUUCCGAGUUCCCUGGAACGGGACGCCAUAGAGGGUGAGAGCCCCGUCUGGUUGGAUGCCAAAUCUCUGUAAAGUUCCUUCAACGAGUCGAGUAGUUUGGGAAUGCUGCUCUAAUGGGAGGUAUAUGUCUUCUAA